GAUGAAGAACGCAGCGAAAUGCGAUAAGUAGUGUGAAUUGCAGAAUUCAGUGAAUCAUCGAAUCUUUGAACGCACAUUGCGCCCUUUGGUAUUCCAAAGGGCAUGCCUGUUCGAGCGUCAUUUGUACCCUCAAGCUUUGCUUGGUGUUGGCGUCUUGUCUCUAGCUUUGCUGGAGACUCGCCUUAAAGUAAUUGGCAGCCGGCCUACUGGUUUCGGAGCGCAGCACAAGUCGCACUCUCUAUCAGCAAAGGUCUAGCAUCCAUUAAGCCUUUUUUUCAACUUUUGACCUCGGAUCAGGUAGGGAUACCCGCUGAACUUAAGCAUAUCAAUAGCGGAGGA
rnacentral:misc_RNA from 1 species